CCUACGGGUGGCAGCAGUGGGGAAUCUUGCGCAAUGGGCGAAAGCCUGACGCAGCGACGCCGCGUGAGCGAUGAAGGCCUUCGGGUUGUAAAGCUCUGUGGGGAGGGAAGAAUAAGGCUCGGCCAAUACCCGAGCUGAUGACGGUACCUCCUUAGCAAGCACCGGCUAACUCUGUGCCAGCAGCCGCGGUAAGACAGAGGGUGCAAACGUUGUUCGGAAUUACUGGGCGUAAAGCGCGUGUAGGCGGCCAUGCAAGUCGGGUGUGAAAGCCCACGGCUCAACCGUGGAAGUGCAUUCGAAACUGCGUAGCUAGAGUCCUGGAGAGGAAGGUGGAAUACUCGGUGUAGAGGUGAAAUUCGUAGAUAUCGAGUGGAACACCGGUGGCGAAGGCGGCCUUCUGGACAGUGACUGACGCUGAGACGCGAAAGCGUGGGGAGCAA
rnacentral:rRNA from 1 species